rnacentral:SRP_RNA from 1 species
GCCGGGCGUGGUGACUCACGCCUGUAAUCCCAGCACUUGGGAGGCUGAGGUGGGAGGAUUGUUGCGAGUUCGAGACCAGCCUGGGCUACAAAGUGAGCUCAAGGCCAGCCUGAACUACAUAGCAAGACCCCAUCUCAA